GACGAACGCUGGCGGCGUGCUUAACACAUGCAAGUCGAACGCGCCUGUCCUCUGGGUUUCUGGGGGGUGGGUGAGUGGCGAACGGGUGAGUAACACGUGAGUAACCUGCCCCCUUCUUCGGGAUAACGGUCUGAAAGGGCUGCUAAUACCGGGUAUUCACUGGUCUCCGCAUGGGGUCUGGUGGAAAGGUUUUUUUCUGGUGGGGGAUGGGCUGGCGGCCUAUCAGCUUGUUGGUGGGGUAGUGGCCCACCCAGGCGACGACGGGUAGCCGGCCUGAGAGGAGGACCAGCGACAGUGGGAGUGAGAAGGGGCCCAGAGUCCUGCGGGCGGCAGCGGUGGGGAAUGUUGGAGAAGGGGGGCAACCCUGAUCGAGCCCUGCCGCGUGGGGGAAGCAGGCCGUCGGGUUGUAGAGCGCGUGUGUUCGGGAGGAAAUACUCUGGGCUAAUACCCCGGGGGGAUGACGGGACCGGAAGAAUAAGCACCGGCUAACUACGUG
rnacentral:rRNA from 1 species